rnacentral:lncRNA from 1 species
AUGUACUUACAUUACCCCCUGCCAUCGUUGUUGAACCAAGAUACACCUGAAACAAUGAUAAUCAAGUGUUAUAACCCACUAGAAAAACACAAACACUAAAUCACUUUAGUCUCAGAAACAAGAUCAGCAAUGAACACACCAAGAUCUUUAUUUUUCUGAACAGAUAAACUAAGAUCUAAGAAAAGAAUCAUAGAUCAUCAAGACCGGUCCUAAAAUUACGAUUUCUACACAACUACCACCAAAUCGACUCCAUUACUAAAUCAUACUUCCUCAAAACCAAUCUCUAAGUCGCAUUUUGAAUUCCCAAUCCAAAACUAUACGAUCAGAUCUCUUCUAAGCUAUGAAAAUGACAGAUCACAACGGAAAAAUAGCAAAACAAUCUAUCUGCUAAAAACAAAAUCUACCAUCGUUGAACCAACACUGCUCCAUAUCUUAAUGAUUCAGAGCCAGAAACUGUGAAAGGCUACAAAAGUUUCAUCUAGAUCUCUAGAGAAUUGCAAUGGAUACUUCAUCGGAUCUGAUGAAAUCAGAACGUAAAUAAAGCGAAUCUAGCUUCGGAAUGAGAGGAAUGAAGAAGCAGGAACCAGAAGGAGAAGACGAUCUCGACGAAAUUUACCUUUUUCGGAUCGCUUUUAGAGGUGAAGGAAGAUGAGUGCUUGCGAAGACGAUGGAACUGUUUGAAGAAAAAACACACGAGGAUUCUGAUUUUAUUCCAGAAGUUUGCUUAAUGAGUAGUCGUGAUUAUAGAAUAUUGUAAAUCAAACCCCAAACAUUUAGAUUUGAA